rnacentral:lncRNA from 1 species
AGCUGAGAAGUCCGAAAUCAAGGUACCAGCAGGGUCCGGUCUGCUGAGGGCUGCUCUCUGCUGUGCCCUCCAGAGAGAACAAAUGCUGUGUCCUCCAGGAGGAAGACCUGGCUCUCUGUGAAGACAUGGCUUGGAUUUAAUUGGGUUGUAAUGCACACAAAGUAAUCAAGUCAAAUCCACAAAUGGCCGUUGAGGACAACUAUUACAAGGAAAUAAGCUUGACAAAAUGCCCCUUUACUAAUUUCUGGCCUGAAAUCUACAGACCUUGCACCCCAGUUGAUAAAUAGCAGAAUUGGAAUUUAAACAGGCCUGGUGACCCAAAAACUUGACUCUAUAUCUUACCCUGAAGAAAUAUGCAAGUGAUAUCAAGCCUGAUAUUGAAACUUUAGUCCACUUCAUCAGACUUUGGAAAAAAACGUGACACUCAACAUAGCAGGUGCCCUAGACAAUGACGGAAUCUCGUUGAAAGCUCUUUAAGCUGAAAUUAAUUUAUGCUCGACAGUGAUUAAAAGAGAAAGUGAGAAGGGGAUGGAAAUUAACAAAUCCAUCUUUAUUGCUGAGAUCCCAUUAUGAUUAUAAGGAGAGAGAAAAAUCAACGUGGCGGGUGCCAGCUGCAAUCUGAUGACCUUUCAUCUUAUUUCUCAUCUGCUGGUCCCAUCAACCCUAACUUUGUAUCUGCUAAAACUCAGGAUGUGAUAGGUUAUAUUGGGCAACAAUGACAACAAUUCAGUGGGCUAAAGAAAAAGUUUAAUUUCUGCUGAUAUUGCAUAUCCAACAAGGACUGGAAGAGGGAAUCUUCACUUUGGACCCUAAAAGGUCCAGCCUGAUUUUGAAAUUUGAAGACAAAUUGAUAGGUGGAAACACGAUUCAAGAGAAGGUGAACACACCAUUGUUACUACAGACAGAAGAUGGAUUGAGGGAAGAGUGGCUUAUUUAAUUGGUGAAUUUUAGAGAAGAAAUUGAGAAUGUCUGCUACUUUUCAUCCCUCCUGAAACUACUACUAUUUUUAGAGGUGCCUAACAUGUUGACCUGCUCUUUGUCUUCUGAAUCUAAUUGGAAACCAUCUUGGAACACACAUGUUGUAUAAAAUGAGAUACCACUAUCUGCAUCUUGUGCCUUUUGUAACAAUAUAAUAAAAUUGUCAUAUAUUGAUUGCCGGAAUCAAUACCAGGACAUUUACAUACAUUUUCUGAUUUAACUUUUGUAAUAUGGGCAGUCAUUUUGAUUCUAUCGGUCAGGAAGUGGUGACUCAAGAAAGGAAGUAAUUUGCCUAAAAUUACAGGACUGGACCCAGACUUUCAGAUCCCAACAUCUUUAUACUUAAAAAAAAAUUCAUCUAUACUCUGUGUGUUCUAUUUUAGUAUAUGUUAUUAGAAAAUAACAGUAAUUCUCUCUCUCUCUCUCUCUGCCUCUGUGUGUGUGUGUGACACAGAGGAACUAAAUAGAAUGAUAGGAAUGCAGCAUCUGGCCACAUCUCAGGGAUGUUAAAUGAGAAUCUACAUUUUAACAAAAUGUCUAGUUAAUCCCUAUUUAUAUUAAAAUGAGAAACACUGAGUUAGAUAAGAUUACCCUUAUGUUACAGAUCAAAAUCCUCAGAAACAAAAAGUUUUCCAGCUCAGAUUGUGAAGAUCUUCUCAAGUUUUGUCAAGCAAUUGGGACAGUAAGUAUAGCAAAGGUAGAGGCGGGUAUUAAUGAUUACUAACUGUCUGCUUCAUUGAGCUCAUUGCAACAGUAGAUGGAGAAUACUGGAGAAGAGAAUAUAAUCAGCCCCCCAUACCCAUGGGUUCCACAUUCGUGGAUUCAAUCAACUUUGGAUCAAAAAUUUAAAAAAAAACAUGACAAUAAAAAACAACACAAAUCUUAAAAACAAUAAAGCUUAACAAUUAUUUACAUAGCAUUUAUAUUAGGUAUUGUAAGUAAUCUGGAUAUAAUUUAAAUGUACAAGAUGAUGUGCAUGGGUCAUAUGCAAAUACUAUGUCAUUUUAUAUAAGGGACCUGAGCAUCCCCAGAUUUUGGUAUCCUGGAGUGGGUCUUAGAACUUAUCCCCUGUAGCUACCAAGGGACAACUGUAUCUGAUAAGGCUUUCUUAUCAGAAGCCUAACCUAGAACAAUGGGAAAACUAAGAACUGGAGUCUACAUUUUUUUUUCUCCCUAGAGAAAAUCAAUUAGUUCCUUCCAGAGAGGGUCUCUGAUACCAGGAAAGUGCUGUUACAUGUGGAUGCAGGCAUUCUGUUUUUCAAGAUAACCGUUAUUUGAUAUACCAGAUGUUAGUCUGGCUAAAAAUAGUAAAAACAGAAAGAACCUCUUCACCUGAGAAACGUUCUUACACAUUCUCAAAGAAUCCUCCUUUGAAGAAUAUUUUUCUACCACAUGAUAAUAAUAUAGGUGGAAUAAAUCGUCUAAAGGAGCAAAUCCAUUUCCAAAAUCUCCUCCCUUUCAUUUGACUUUGAUAUUCCAUUGAUUCUUUUUUAAAUCCUUUCUUGUCUUCUUCUUUUCCAUCCUUCCCUACUCUCACUGCUUCUGGCUCUACAGGAAAUAUUACACAAUCCCUACUUUGCCUGUGCUACCCACCCAAACAACAAUGUCAUUUCCUUAUAAUAAUACUACUUGAAAGUUUAAAAGGUGAAAUAGUAAAAGACUUAUGAGCAGUUAAAAAUUGGUACCUAGUAUCUGUGCAGUAAUGUUCAUGUAUAUUCUUUAGAAAAUAUCCUCAGACCCUAUUUAUUUUCACUUUACUUUUAAGUAAAUGGAACAUAUCUGUGUUACUUGUUUUUUAUCGUUAUAGAAGACAGGCAGAAUCAGCACUAUUUAAGAUAAGUUUUAGGCAAAUACACAAUGAAAACAAUAAGAGGGACUGCUCCAGGUAUGCAACUAAUGGGUGAAAGUAAGAAUGAUACAAAACAAAUACAAAACAAAUAGAACUAAGGAAUAAUAGUAGAAGUUACAGCAUUCUGAGCCUUCUAGAAAGAGGUUGAAAUGAUUCAGCAUGCACAUGAAUGUUUGUAAUGAUGAUUCCAUUUCAUAAAAUAAUACUUCAAUUACAUGUAACAUGAUGCAAUUACUAAAAAAUAGAAAAUUAGUAAAGUAACUCACAGAAGCUUCUAUCUAAAAUUGUUAAAUUAAAAUUUAAAAACCAUUUUUGGUCUGUAGGGAGUUAUAUUUGAGUUAUCUGGAGAAAAAUGAACUUAUGAAGGAUAGCAUCUUCUUGUCCUCAGACAUGUUGAAUAAAACAAAGAUUAUCAUCUCUUUUCUUGAGUAUUCUAAAAUAUUCAAAGUCUUUCUAAAACAUGUGUCUUAAUUGAUCUCCCGAGAAACUAUUUGUGAUUGAUGGAGAAGGUAGCAGAAUAUCAAUUUUAUAAAUGAAGAAAUUGAGGAUAAGAAGGUAAAUUGAUCAAUGCAAAAGCACUAAACAUAGGAGCUAUUAUUACAUAAUAUUUUGCUCCAACUAUUACCAUAUCAACAAUAUACUUUCACUUUUUCUUUUUGUUUUUUUCCAAUAAAUCUCUCAAAAAUAAGUAAACUUCUGAAAAUGAGGCUGGAUGACAGUAAUUUAAUGAUUAUUAUAAUGCUAUAUGCAGACAUCAAUUGUAAUGAAGUAAUUUUUUAAUUCAUUGUCAGUGUUUCUGUAGUUAGCAAAGAUUUAGGGAAAAAUAACUGUUCAUUAAAUAUUUAUAUAUAACCAACCGUGCAUAUAAGGUGUAAAGAUACAUGAACGAGGAAGAUAAAACUUCUGGCCUCUAGGAGCUCACAACUGACACCAGUGGUUCUCAACAAGGGGUUAUUUUGCUCCCCCCAACCUCCACCAGAGGACAUUUGUCAAUAUCUGGAGAUAUUUGUUAUUGUCAUACUGGGAUGGUGAGCUGGUGUUGGAGUUAUUGGCAUCUAGAAAGUACAGACCAGGGAUGUUGUUAAACAUUAUAGAAUGCAAAGAAUAGCUCCCUUCAAUAAAAAAUGUUCAGGUCCAAAAUGUCAACAGUACCAAAAUUGUAAAAUCUUGGCUUACUUCAAGAGGGCAAAUAAUUACAAAACAAGUGCAUGGAUCAAGACAAAUCCCUAUUAGAACCCAAAGGAGCAACAAACUCUGGCUGGGCAGGAAAGAAGAAGUUUCAUGGGGACAGUGUCCAUGGGCUGUGUCUGAAAGAACAGAUUCAAAUAAAGUCAUCAAAGAAAAAUGUACAUUAAAAAGCUGGGAUCUAAAAUAGGGACAGCAUUUCUUGAAAGUUCUUUCCAGGGAAUACCAAGGUAUAUAGGGGCAUAGGAUUAUAAAGGUAUUAAACACACAUGCGCGCGCGCGCGCACACACACACACACACACACACACACACUGUUAACCCGUUUUACAUUGUUAUAGAAGAACACCUGAGGCUGGAUAAUUUAUAAAUAAAAGAGGUUUAUU